rnacentral:other from 1 species
UAUGCCCUGCGGUGUUCGAGAUACCGGUAUAUAUUGCUCCCGGACCUAUGUAAAACAUUACGGAAAUCUCUACUAGACGAAAUAAUGACAUGCCUUUAUUGGACUUCAGCAUUUCGAUUAGCGAUAUCCACCUUUUCUUAAUGGAACGGUUUAGCAUCCUUAACGGCAUUGCGGGGCACUU